UGUGGGAGCUGGCUUGCCUGCGAUGGCGGUGGGUCAGCAAUACAAAUGUUUCUGGCAGACCGCUAUCGCAGGCAAGCCAGCUCCCACA
rnacentral:misc_RNA from 1 species